UACGUAGGGGGCAAGCGUUGUCCGGAAUCAUUGGGCGUAAAGAGCGCGUAGGCGGUCCGAUAAGUCGGCUGUGAAAGUCAAGGGCUCAACCCUUGAAAGCCGGCCGAUACUGUCGGACUAGAGUCCGGAAGAGGCGAGUGGAAUUCCCGGUGUAGCGGUGAAAUGCGCAGAUAUCGGGAGGAACACCAAUGGCGAAGGCAGCUCGCUGGGACGUGACUGACGCUGAGGCGCGAAAGCGUGGGGAGCAAACAGGG
rnacentral:rRNA from 1 species